GGACCCGUAGCUCAGUUGGUUAGAGCUACCGGCUCAUAACCGGUCGGUCGUUGGUUCGAGUCCAACCGGGUCCA
rnacentral:ncRNA from 14 species